CCUCACACGCGAACAUACACUUUAAUCAAGCUAACUCGGCAAUCUGUCGAGUUUCACCCGAUACACCACCUAACUCGGAUUGAUCACAAAGCAGGCUCACACGAAGGUGAGUGUUAUCCCCAGAAAUUACAACAAUCCAUCCAGAUUAAGAUUGUACGAUAAUUUAUUACAUUAGAGUUUUGAAAUUCAAACAAGUUUGCAGAGUGUUCAACAGCGGAAGAUUUAAAGUCUUGCGGAGGCUAAAUGUCGGUACGAAAUAUCACAGCGAAGCUGACCACGAUAUCAAUAACCCCUAUCCUCGCCGUUCGAGGAGGGAUUCCACUCGACCGUCCAACCCGGAGGGAGUUGGGUAGGCCAAGUAAGACUAGCAGCUACUUCAUUGAAAUUAGUAACACC
rnacentral:lncRNA from 1 species